rnacentral:piRNA from 1 species
UGUGUAACAAGCACACCGAUUUCAUUU